rnacentral:rRNA from 1 species
CUACGGGCCGCAGCAGUGAGGAAUUUUGCGCAAUGGGGGCAACCCUGACGCAGCAACGCCGCGUGAGUGAAGAAGGCCUUUGGGUCGUAAAGCUCUGUCAACAGGGAAGAAGUUACUUCAUAUUAAUAGUAUGUAGUAUUGACGGUACCUGUGGAGGAAGCAUCGGCUAACUCCGUGCCAGCAGCCGCGGUAAUACGGGGGAUGCAAGCGUUAUUCGGAAUCAUUGGGCGUAAAGGGCACGCAGGCGGCUCUGUCAGUCAGAUGUGAAAGCCCGGGGCUCAACCCCGGACGUGCAUUUGAAACAGCAGAGCUUGAGUACGGUAGAGGAAAGCGGAAUUCCUGGUGUAGAGAUGAAAUUCGUAGAUAUCAGGAGGAACACCGGUGGCGAAGGCGGCUUUCUGGACCGAAACUGACGCUGAGGUGCGAAGGCGUGGGUAGCGAACAGGAUUAGAUACCCUCGUAGUC